rnacentral:rRNA from 1 species
GCACCCGCGGUAAUUCCAGCACCAAUAGCGUAUAUUAAUGCUGCUGCUGUUAAAAAGCUCGUAGUUGGAUCCAGAGUACAGGUUGCAUGGUGGCCCAUGUUGGCUGCGAUCGGUGUAUUAUCGGUAAUAGUCGCGUGGGAACAACCCCAUGCUCCAAGACCUGUCCUCUACUGAAGGUGGUAAUGGUGCCCUGUGAGUAGGCUCCUUCAUUGGAGCUCAAAGCGCCUUCGUGUUAACCAUACGCAAACGGGUCGACCACCGAUGUUACUGUGAACAAACCAGCGUGUCCAAAGCAGGCACUCGCCUUGAAUGAUAAAGCAUGGAAUAACAAGGGAUCGGAUCCUCUCGGUUCUUUUUGUUGGUUCUCAACCCGGGAAGGAGUAAUUCAAGCCUCGGAUCCUCUUCUGGUACUCUAACUUGUUAGACCCAGUUGAGACCAUGGCCCAUCCGGAUCAAUAGGGACUGCCGGGGUCGUAUGUACUCCCGCGUCAGAGGUGAAAUUCUUAGAUCGUGGGAAGACAAACUUCUGCGAAAGCAUUCGACAAGAAUGUCUUCAUUAAUCAAGAACGAGAGUGUGGGGAUCGAAGAUGAUCAGAUACCGUCGUAGUCCACUACUGUAAACGAUGCCGUCUCAGGAUCGAGAGAUGCACCAACAUGGCUCUCACGGCACUAACCCCUGAAACGAGAAAUCAAAGAUUGUGGGUUCAGGGGGGAGUACAUUCGCAAGGCUGAAACUUAAAGGAAUUGACGGAAUGACACCACCAGGCGUGGAGUGUGCGGCUUAAUUUGACUCAACACGGGGAAUUUUACUAGGUCAGGACAGUGUAAGGAUUGACAGAUUGAGAGCUCUUUCUCGAUCCAUUGUGUGGUGGUGCAUGGCCGCUCCUGGUUGGUGGAGUGAUUUGUCUGGUUGAUUCCGUUAACGAACGAGAUCUCGACCCUUAAAUAGGUGUGCUCGUCGCUUUGCGGUUCCUCUCAAGUUUACUUGAGUUAUGGACCUUAGACAGGGCAACGACUUCUUAGGGGGACUGGGUGCUACGGAGCAUUCGGAAGAGCGAGCCAAUAGCAGGUCUGUGAUGCUCCUAAAUGUCCUAGGCUGCACGCGCACUACACUGACGCAUUCAACGAGUCUGAUUGCCUUAUGGCAACCUAUCUUGAAGAGGAUGGGAAACCUUUUGAACUUGCGUCGUGAUGAG